UCCAACGUCACUGAUGAUAUGCGGAUUGCC
rnacentral:piRNA from 2 species